CUCUGAUUGACAGCUUCCCGAGCCAAUCAGCUUUGCAAGUACCUCAGCCUCCUCUCAGCGCUCCGGAGUCACUCCGAUUCGAUAGCGGUGGGAGGAGCAUCCAACCCCUGAGAAGAAAGUCUGACAGCAUCCAAAGCAGCUUCCAGCUUCCCCAAGUGUUCACCGCGGCGUGGUGGUGAGGUGAGUAAAGGCACCUUGAAAAGCAUUUAAUCUCGCUGGCUGAACGCCACAGGGAGGCUUGGUGGCAGGGUUUUAGAAGUGGCUCUGGGGUGAGGAUGGGCUAUGCUGGAGCAAAUGGGGCUGAAUUAGAGUUCCCCCCCCUCCCCAUGAAGGUAAGCGUUCCUAAUCUCACACAAAAGAACCCAAAUGUGGGCCCGUUUAACAGCCUGUUUUGGGGGGAGCCCCAAAACUGAGGUGAAUCUGGGCCCAUCCUGACACAAAAUGAGGUCUCGAUCCCUCGUUCCCAGUGUUCUCCCGCUCCCCAGUUCCUAGUUGAAGAGGGGGGUCACCUCCAUUACCAAUUUAGCGGCUCUGUGGCUCUCACCCAUUCCCACUUUUUGGGUGAGAGGGUGGCUCCCUUCCAUAUCACACCAUGGGGACCUAAUGGAGCCUCUCAAGUGUCCCCAGGGCGUGUGUCACUUGUGGAUGUCCUGCUCUGCACCACUGGGGUUGUGGCAGCCAGCACAGCACCAUGUUUGUUGCCAAAGGCGCCUGGACAUUGGUGGCCCCAGGACAACUUCCUACUCACAUCCCUCCUGGUGAGCACCUGUCACCUCUGUCUCUCCCUUGCGUGCCCCUGAUCCCUCUGUGUCACCCCCGUGUCCUCUCAAUUCCCUUGUGUGUUCCAGUGUAUCUUUACAGUUCCAGUUAUCUUUACAGCCUAACGUUUCCCUUUGUCACUUCAUGGCCCCACCAUGUGUGCCCCCACAUCCCUGCCUGUCCUCUCUGUGUCCGCAGGCCCCUCUAUGACACUCAAACCCCCAUGCUGUCGGGCCCCUCUGCAUCCACCUAUCCACAUACUCACAUCACACCAUGUCUCCCCAUCACUUGACAUGUCCCCGUGUCACUUUGCACGUCCCCCCUGUCCCUU
ensembl:lncRNA